rnacentral:rRNA from 1 species
AACGAACGCUGGCGGCGUGCCUAACACAUGCAAGUCGAACGAGAAAGGGGCUUCGGCUCCGAGUAAAGUGGCGCACGGGUGAGUAACACGGGGGUAACCUGCCUCUAAGAUUGGGAUAACUCGUCGAAAGAUGAGCUAAUACCGAAUAAGACCACAGUUCCCGCGGGAACAGGGGUCAAAGGUAGCCUCUGCUUGCAAGCUAUCACUUAGAGAUGGGCCUGCGCACCAUUAGCUAGUUGGUAGGGUAACGGCCUACCAAGGCAAAGAUGGUUAGCUGGUCUGAGAGGAUGAUCAGCCACACUGGAACUGAGACACGGUCCAGACUCCUACGGGAGGCAGCAGUGGGGAAUAUUGCGCAAUGGGCGAAAGCUUGACGCAGCAACGCCGCGUGAGUGAUGAAGGCCUUCGGGUCGUAAAGCUCUGUCGGGAGGAACGAAUGCUCCUGAGGUUAACAGCCUCGGGAGGUGACGGUACCUUCAAAGGAAGCACCGGCUAACUCUGUG